CAUCAUGUUUUUCAUGGUUAUAUAACCACAAGAUUUUAAAUACAUAUAUUAGAUAUGCUAUUGAAGUGACUUAAAGCCCCUUUUAGUACAAAUCUUUCAAAAUAUCAAGAUGUAUUUCCCUGUUUCCCAAGUAAUGCAUGCUGUUUCAUUUACUUCAGAUUAAUCCGUAAGAACAAAGAUGAUCUAUUGACUCAAAUUUAAAUACUAUAUAUCACUGAAAAAUAUUUAAAAUAUGUGUUUUAAAAAUACAGGGAAAAAUUACCUAUGUGAUACUUAUGGCAUCAAUAACAGGAAAAACAUUACCCUGCUGUUUUAAUUCUUGAAUCUUUAGAAUUUUUGCAUUUGGAUUGUAUAAAAUGUCCUGGUUUAUUUUAAAAAUCAUUAUGUUUCAUAUUUAGAUGAAAAGGAAUGACAGAUUUCCAGCUGCAACUUAUAAUCAUUUCUUCUCACACAAUACAUUGCGGGGUAAAUAGUCUUUACUCCAAUAAACAGCAGCAACAUUGACUAGAACAAGAGACAGAUGUUAUGUAUACAUUUUGAUCAGAUUAAUGGCACCUAAGAUCUGGUGAAGAUCAUCUUUAGGAGAACCAUCACUCAAGACAACUGAAGUUGACUCCAUGAUCACCUUUAACAACAGGACCUCCGGAACACCUUUGCCAAUUCUUAGUAACUUCCCCGUCACAGUUUCCUCAUCUGAAAUGGAUUGCUAAGAGAAUUAAAUGAUAUUUAGCAAUACCUGGAAAAUGUUCACAAUGACUACAUCCAAGCCCACCGGGCUACAUAUGGAGACAAGUCAACUAACCACAUAUAAAAAUCGCCAUUGGAGAAGGGGAAGAAUCAGAACCCACGUGACGAAGCUGAAAAUGCUGGGGAAGUGGAUACCAGUCCCACAUGCUCAGAGAAAGUUGAUUCUACUGCAGCCCCUGCAAGCAACUCAACUUCCUAACCUAGCAUUCUAGAGUGUCACACUGAACCACCCCAAACUCAGAGUAUAGGCUCAGCUAGAAAAAUGCCUGUUUCAAAAAAGCAAGAGGACAAGGGAAAUUUUCAGAAAUGUCUAUCUACCACUGUUGGGCUCCUCGAUUCAUCUCUUCCCAACUCCUCAAGAGGUGGUCCCCUUUGGAAGUUCCACCGAACACUUAGACACCUCCAGUGCCCAGCCUUGGGCCGAUUACAUUCAACUUGGCAUUUGAUGAUGAAACUUCCUCAAAUUGCUC